CGCGGUGGUAGCUCAACGAAGAACGCGACGUCCUGUCGCAACGUUGGACAAUGAACAUCCUGUUCU
rnacentral:sRNA from 1 species